rnacentral:tRNA from 1 species
GGGCUCGUGGCUUAAUGGAUAUAGCAUCUGACUACGGAUCAGAAGGUUGGGGGUUCGACUCCCUCCGAGCCCA